ACAUUUUCUUAUUUGGUCUUACCUUGUGAAGAGUGGGGGGGGGUUCCUCUUCCAAUUAGACCAAGGUUUUCCUUACAGUUCUAGUCUUCCCUCCCCAAAUGUUUUCUGAAACAUUUCGUAGAUUUGUGGGAUGUAAGCAAAGUCACUUUAUUUUUUUCUAAAUAAAAUUAAUCUGUCUCUAAGCCUCUUCCUGUUGAGACAACAGGAAGUUCAGUCGGUGAUUAUUUCCAUCAGUUCACAGAUGUGUAAAAGUCUUAGAGGAAGGUUAUACAAAGCAACAUUCAGGGAGAUCCCUGGUCUUCAGUUAUUCGACAAAUGUUUAAGUGCCUGCUGUGCCAGUUUUGGAGGUGAGAAAUCCAAAAUCAUUUUACUGCACAAAAGUCAAAGUGUUGACAGAACAAGAACCUCAGUCCUAUAGCUUCAAGGAACUGAAUUCUGCCAACAACCAGUGAGCUUAGAAGAGCAUUGUGAAUGCAGAUGAGAUAGCAGCCCAGGCUGACAUGUUGACUGCAGCCUUGUGAGAUCCGAACAGAGUACUCAGCCAAGCUGUACCUGGAUUCCAGACCCAUGGAAACUAUUGCAACAGUUUUUAGAAAUGAUCAGAGUCCAGUGACAAGCAACAAAACCCGCGGCUGAGUCUCACUCCCAUUUCCUGAUGUCUUCAUCUUCCUCCCCAUUUGUCUUAUCAUUGCUAUUCUGUGUACCAAGCCAAGAGCCCAAAAACAACUGAGUAAAAUAAGUCAAGUGUUCACAUAUGUUGAUUUCCAAAAAAGCCAACCAAAACAGAAAUGAACUAAAAAGGAAAAAAUAUUAAAAAUUCUCCUAAAUCAUUUACUUUUCAAUGGGCCUCCAUUUUAGAUUUCUAGUAUAUGUUCUUUCUGAAGCUCCUGUCUUCCAGGCUCACAGAAUGUGCAGUGGCAGCUUUUAUCUUUUCGAGUGUGUCCAAGUUUAAGGUUUGAAGUAAUUAUGAAGAACAUCUGACUAGGAGAAAAACAAAACCCAAUAAGAAAACAACUUGUGAAAAGGGGAGAAAAGUCAAGUAUGGUCGACCCUGAUAUGCACCAUGAAGAACCCUCUUCAAGGAAAGAUUUGCUGACCAGCAGUAGGAAAUGCAACCAGUAGACAGCCUCCAGCUGUCAGCUUCUUCAGGAUCUGCCACAGCUGCAGAGUCUCUGCCUGAACCAUGCCCUUCUUGGGGCAGUCUGGAUCUGGUGACUGAACAUGGGCUGGUCAUUUUUUUUCGGGGAUAUAAAGUCCCAGGCAGUUAUUUUGGGCCAAUGCCAAAGGACAUUUUUCACUCCAGAGCUCCCCACUAGGCUGGCCUAUGUUGCAGUUUGACUUUUCCCUCUGCCAAUCCUGCCCCCCCCACCACUUUCUGUCACAGGUGUUGAUUUUAAUAAACAUCUUGUGCCCCAAA